rnacentral:rRNA from 1 species
UGGGGAAUUUUGCGCAAUGGGGGAAACCCUGACGCAGCAACGCCGCGUGGAGGAUGAAGUCUCUUGGGACGUAAACUCCUUUCGAUUGGGAAGAUAAUGACGGUACCAAUAGAAGAAGCCCCGGCUAACUUCGUGCCAGCAGCCGCGGUAAUACGAGGGGGGCAAGCGUUGUUCGGAAUUAUUGGGCGUAAAGGGUGCGUAGGCGGUUUGGUAAGUCUUGUGUGAAAUCUUCGGGCUCAACUCGAAGUCUGCACGAGAAACUGCCGGGCUUGAGUGUGGGAGAGGUGAGUGGAAUUUCCGGUGUAGCGGUGAAAUGCGUAGAUAUCGGAAGGAACACCUGUGGCGAAAGCGGCUCACUGGACCAUAACUGACGCUGAUGCACGAAAGCUAGGGGAGCAAACAGGAUUAGAUACCCUGGUAGUCCUAGCCCUAAACGAUGAUCGCUUGGUGUGACGGGUACCCAAUCCCGCCGUGCCGAAGCUAACGCGUUAAGCGAUCCGCCUGGGGAGUACGGUCGCAAGGCUG